rnacentral:rRNA from 1 species
UACGUGGGGUGCGAGCGUUGUUCGGAAUUACUGGGCGUAAAGCGCGUGUAGGCGGCGAGGCAAGUCUGACGUGAAAGCCCUGGGCUUAACCCAGGAACGGCAUCGGAAACUGCCCCGCUUGAGGCUGGGAGAGGGUCGUGGAAUUCUUGGUGUAGAGGUGAAAUUCGUAGAUAUCAAGAGGAACACCGGUGGCGAAGGCGGCGACCUGGACCAGUUCUGACGCUGAGACGCGAAAGCGUGGGGAGCAAACAGC